UCUGCAGUCGAGGGGCAGCGCAGUGUAGCAAUACAUGGGCGGCGACCGGCAAACGGGUGCGGAACACGUACAGAACCUUCCUUCGAGCGGGGCAUAGCCCGGCGAAAGCCGGAUUAAUACCCCAUAGUAUGCAGAAGAGGCAUCUCUUUUGUCUUAAAGAUUUAUCACUUGAAGAUGGCUGUGCGGCUGAUUAGGUAGUUGGCGGGGUAACGGCCCACCAAGCCUACGAUCAGUAACUGGUGUGAGAGCACGACCAGUCACACGGGCACUGAGACACGGGCCCGACUCCUACGGGAGGCAGCAGUAAGGAAUAUUGGUCAAUGGACGCAAGUCUGAACCAGCCAUGCCGCGUGGAGGAUGAAGGCCCUCUGGGUUGUAAACUUCUUUUAUUUGGGACGAAAAAGGGACUUUCUAGUUCAACUGACGGUACCAGAUGAAUAAGCACCGGCUAACUCCGUGCCAGCAGCCGCGGUAAUACGGAGGGUGCAAGCGUUAUCCGGAUUCACUGGGUUUAAAGGGUGCGUAGGUGGGUUGGUAAGUCAGUGGUGAAAUCCCCGAGCUUAACUUGGGAACUGCCAUUGAUACUAUCAGUCUUGAAUACCGUGGAGGUCAGCGGAAUAUGUCAUGUAGCGGUGAAAUGCUUAGAUAUGACAUAGAACACCAAUUGCGAAGGCGGCUGGCUACACGAAUAUUGACACUGAGGCACGAAAGCGUGGGGAUCAAACAGGAUUAGAUACCCUGGUAGUCCACGCCCUAAACUAUGGAUACUCGACAUACGCGAUACACUGUGUGUGUCUGAACGAAAGCAUUAAGUAUCCCACCUGGGAAGUACGACCCCCAAGGUUAAAACU
rnacentral:rRNA from 1 species